rnacentral:rRNA from 1 species
UACAGAGGGGGCAAGCGUUGUCCGGACUGACUGGGCGUAAAGCGCGCGCAGGCGGUCGCGGGCGUCGGUGCUGAAAGGGCGCCGCUUAACGGCGCGAAGGGUACCGAUACGCCGCGACUGGAGCGAUGGCGAGGGUGGUGGAAUUGCCGGUGUAGUGGUGAAAUGCGUAGAGAUCGGCAGGAACACCCAGGGGGAAACCAGCCGACUGGGCAUCUGCUGACGCUGAGGUGCGAGAGCGUGGGGAGCGAACCGG